AUUGAACGCUAGCGGGAUGCUUUACACAUGCAAGUCGAACGAGCGGCGGACGGGUGAGUAAUGUAUGGGGACUGCCCGAUAGAGGGGGAUAACUACUGGAAACGGUAGCUAAUACCGCAUACUAUCGGAUAACCCAUAUGGGAUUAGCUAGUAGGUGAGGUAAUGGCCCACCUAGGCGACGAUCCCUCGCUGGUCUGAGAGGAUGAUCAGCCACACUGGGCCUGUGAAGCGGCCCAGACUCCUACGGAGGCAGCAGUGGUGAAUAUUGCACAAGGGGCGCAAGCCUGAUGCAGCCAUGCCGCGUGUAGUAAGAAGGCCCUAGGGUUGUAAAGUACUUUCAGUCGGGAGGCGUUACCGACAGAAGAAGCACCGGCUAACUCCGUGCCAGCAGCCGCGGUAAUUC
rnacentral:rRNA from 1 species